UACGUAGGGUGCGAGCGUUAAUCGGAAUUACUGGGCGUAAAGCGUGCGCAGGCGGUGAUGUAAGACCGAUGUGAAAUCCCCGGGCUUAACCUGGGAACUGCAUUGGUGACUGCAUCGCUCGAGUAUGGCAGAGGGGGGUAGAAUUCCACGUGUAGCAGUGAAAUGCGUAGAGAUGUGGAGGAAUACCGAUGGCGAAGGCGGGUUGCUGGGCCGACACUGACGCUGAUGCGCGAAAGCCAGGGGAGCGAACGGG
rnacentral:rRNA from 1 species